CAGCCGCCGCGGUAAUACGAAGGGGGCUAGCGUUGCUCGGAAUCACUGGGCGUAAAGGGUGCGUAGGCGGGUCUUUAAGUCAGGGGUGAAAUCCUGGAGCUCAACUCCAGAACUGUCUUUGAUACUGAAGAUCUUGAGUAUGGGAGAGGUGAGUGGAACUGCGAGUGUAGAGGUGAAAUUCGUAGAUAUUCGCAAGAACACCAGUGGCGAAGGCGGCUCACUGGCCCAUAACUGACGCUGAGGCACGAAAGCGUGGGGAGCAAACAGGAUUAGAUACCCGAGUAGUCCCUGUCUCUUAUAA
rnacentral:rRNA from 1 species